rnacentral:rRNA from 1 species
UACGUAGGGGGCAAGCGUUGUCCGGAAUCAUUGGGCGUAAAGCGCGUGUAGGCGGCUCGGUAAGUCCGCUCUGAAAGUCCAGGGCUCAACCCUGGGAUGCGGGUGGAUACUGCCGGGCUCGAGUCCGGAAGAGGCGAGUGGAAUUCCCGGUGUAGCGGUGAAAUGCGCAGAUAUCGGGAGGAACACCGGUGGCGAAGGCGGCUUCCUGGACCGACACUGACGCUGAGGCGCGAAAGCUAGGGGAGCAAACAGG